CUCGAUCUAUGAAGAAGAUGAAGAAACCACGAUUUGUCCUCCUUUUGGUUGUGUUUAUAGUCCUCUGCGUCUCACUUGUUUCUUCUGGUAAUCAAUCCAUCUUCUCUUUCAACUUCUUUGUUCUUACUCUGUUUCACUGUUUUUUAAUUAGUAGAUUCAUUCACAUAUCGAAAAAUGGCAGAAAUGAAUUUGGGUUUGGAGGAUUACAAUUUUCCGGUGGAUCCAUCUCCGACUACAAAAGCUUCGAUCAAACCAGGUCCUAUUGAGCAUGGAAACCCUCUCAAUCCUUAUAUUCCUAAGCCUCCUUCUUCUUCUCCUCCUCCACAAGGUCC
rnacentral:lncRNA from 1 species